AUCGUGUACACAUUUAUCGACAUUUAGUGUAAUCUUCACGACGAUAGAAAUAUCUCAGUCAGUAAAAUGCCAAUUCCACGUGGAAAGUACCAGGAAGAAGUACGUGGGCAGUUCUGUGGGCCGAUGCAUGGAGCCAUACCGACUGAUGAUCCGCAUACAUACGAGAAGAUUGUUUUCGAAAGCUCGACCAAGAGGCCCAAGACCAGGGUCGUUAUAAAGUAGGAGGUUGGCAUUCAAUUGGUUCACUGUAUAUUCGACACAAGGCAACACACUGUCAUCGGUGCAAUGCAUGCAUCGCCAGUGCACGAUCAGCGUGGCAAUGCCAGGAGUGUAUACAAGUGCAUUACGGAUUGACUCUUGAGGAUUGGGCGAAAAUAGAUAGAAAUGUGCUCGUCAACGUAGUGCAACGGAGGUGACUCAUGCAGCCAGCAGUUCAACCAAUGGACGAACGUUGUGUAGUGAUCCUCGAAUUCGGAAAAUUCUGCCAAUCUGGCGGCUUGAAGAGCUGUAGCUCUGAGGAGGGGUUUUGUGGGUAUGCCGUGUUACCGGAGAGUCCCACACUGGCUGGGAGCGCAUGUCGCCCUGCCGUAGUAAAUAACGCAUUCCCCUCCUUCUGAAAAAAAAAAAAAAAAUAAAAGACCUCGGUGCUUCGGGUUACCAUUGCGAAGGGUUUGUGGACUGGCCGAAAUCAUUUUCACCAUCGGGUUGCCAUUUGUUAGGUCACUAGCUACUGUCACAUUCACCACUGAGUAGUCAUUAUUGAAUAGGUAAACCUUACUUUUCGAUUAUCGAAAUGUUUUCGAGACGCCCCCAGGAAUUAUGCUAUUAGGCGAGAAAAUUACUUACGCAAAAUCUGAAAUUGAUCGGACAAUGGGAAGACACGCCGCAUCGAAUUUGAGAAUUUUUUAAUUUUUGUAGUUUAUUUUUCCCUAUUAUAAUCUAAUUUCUGCGCCAUUUCGAAUUCGUCUUAUCACGCUCUAUAAGAAUAUAGAAGCAAAUAUGAUUGCGAUAAGAAACAUGCGAUUUUGUAAUUUCAAAAACUGAUUUCGAAUAAAAGAAGUUUGUUUUGCCAACUAAUUUUAUGAAAA